AGGGUUUGAUCCUGGCUCAGGAUGAACGCUAGCGGCAGGCUUAAUACAUGCAAGUCGAGGGACAGCACAGGUAGCAAUACUGGGUGGUAACCGGCAAACGGGUGCGGAACACGUACACAACCUUCCUUUAAGUGGGGGAUAGCCCAGAGAAAUUUGGAUUAAUACCCCGUAACACAGUGGAGUGGCAUCACUUUACUGUUAUAGAUACGUCGCUUAAUGAUGGGUGUGCGUCUGAUUAGAUAGUUGGGGAGGUAACGGCUCACCAAGUCAACGAUCAGUAGCUGAUGUGAGAGCAUGAUCAGCCACACGGGCACUGAGACACGGGCCCGACUCCUACGGGAGGCAGCAGUAAGGAAUAUUGGUCAAUGGACGCAAGUCUGAACCAGCCAUGCCGCGUG
rnacentral:rRNA from 1 species